rnacentral:misc_RNA from 1 species
GCCUGAAACCUUUGGGCAACACGCCAAUCCUCUUUUGACAGCAAUGGUGGGGGUAGUCUCGGAUUUAUGCUAUGAUGAGAAUAAUAAUAUGAAAGAUAUGCUGGAUGUGAGCGAAUUUCAUCAUCAGUAAGAACUAAAUUAUUGCCGCUAUUAUUAUUAUUACUGCUACUAUUGUCACUAAAAUUGGGGUUCCUAAAAAGACUACCCACAGCGCUUAAUGAUCCCUCAACAGUUGGUGGAGC